CACGCAGGCGGUCUGCUAAGUUCGGAGUGACAGUCACCAGCUUAACUGGUGAAGGACUUUGAAAACUGGCGGGCUUGAGAGCGAGAGAGGGACAUGGAAUUUCGGGUGGAGCAGUGAAAUGCGUAGAUAUCCGGAGGAAUACCAAAGGCGAAGGCAGUGUCCUGGCUCGUAUCUGACGCUGAGGUGCGAAAGCUAGGGGAGCGAACGGGAUUAGAUACCCCGGUAGUCCUAGCCGUAAACGAUGACCACUAGGUGUGGGAGGUAUCGACCCCUUCCGUGCCGCAGUUAACACAGUAAGUGGUCCGCCUGGGGAGUACGGUCGCAAGACUAAA
rnacentral:rRNA from 1 species